GAUCCUGGCUCAGGACGAACGCUGGCGGCGCGCCUAACACAUGCAAGUCGAACGGAGAUACCAGAGGAGCUUGCUCCACCGGUAUCUUAGUGGCGGACGGGUGAGUAACACGUGAGCAACCUGCCUUUCAGAGAGGGAUAACGUUUGGAAACGAACGCUAAUACCACAUAACAUCACGAUACGCAUCGUAUUGUUGAUCAAAGGAAGGCAAUACCGCCUGAGAGAUGGCGUCGCG
rnacentral:rRNA from 1 species